GAUGAACGCUGGCGGCGUGCCUAAUACAUGCAAGUCGAGCGAACAGACGAGGAGCUUGCUCCUCUGACGUUAGCGGCGGACGGGUGAGUAACACGUGGAUAACCUACCUAUAAGACUGGGAUAACUUCGGGAAACCGGAGCUAAUACCGGAUAAUAUAUUGAACCGCAUGGUUCAAUAGUGAAAGACGGUUUUGCUGUCACUUAUAGAUGGAUCCGCGCCGCAUUAGCUAGUUGGUAAGGUAACGGCUUACCAAGGCAACGAUGCGUAGCCGACCUGGGAGGGGGCUCGGCCACCUUGGAACUGAGACCCGCCCCAGCCCCCCAGGGGGGGCCGCAGUGGGGAAUCUUCCGCAAUGGGCGAAACCCUGACGGAGCAACCCCGGGGGAGUGAUGAAGGGCUUCGGAUCGUAAAACCUUUUUUUUGGGGAAAAAAAAAUGUUUAAGUAACUUUCCACGUCUUGCCGGUACCUAAACAGAAAGCCCCGGCUAACUCCGU
rnacentral:rRNA from 1 species